GUUCUCUCUCGCCGCCGCCGCGCGACCAACUGUCACCGAGCUCGCGACCGCCGCUCGCGCUGCCGCGGGUGGGUGAAUAUCUCCUCAGGAGUCCUCAGGUACUUGGAUGAUCCAAUGGAUUAUGACUGCCUGGAACUCCUGACUUGCAUUCCCAACAACUGAUCUAACAUUGUGAGAAACAGCUGUUUUUAAAAAAGGUGAUUCAUUAUUUAAUGACAAUGGUGAAGAAGAUAAUGAUCAAGCUCGCGAAGCAAAGUAAAUCAGAAGUGCUCAAUUACAUUUUCUCCAGAAAGAAUGUCAAGAAGCCGAAGCCAAUGGAAGUCAUAUUCAAACCCACAAGACAUUUCGAAGAUAUUGAAGC